rnacentral:rRNA from 1 species
UUCCCCUAGUAACUGCGAGUGAAGCGGGAAAAGCUCAANUUUAAAAUCUGGCGGUCUUUGGCCGUCCGAGUUGUAAUCUAGAGAAGUGUUAUCCGCGCUGGACCGUGUACAAGUCUCCUGGAAUGGAGCGUCAUAGAGGGUGAGAAUCCCGUCUUUGACACGGACUGCCAGGGCUUUGUGAUGCGCUCUCAAAGAGUCGAGUUGUUUGGGAAUGCAGCUCAAAAUGGGUGGUAAAUUCCAUCUAAAGCUAAAUAUUGGCGAGAGACCGAUAGCGAACAAGUACCGUGAGGGAAAGAUGAAAAGAACUUUGGAAAGAGAGUUAAACAGUACGUGAAAUUGCUGAAAGGGAAACGCUUGAAGUCAGUCGCGUUGGCCGGGAAUCAACCUUGCUUUUGCUGGGCGUACUUUCCGGUUGACGGGUCAACAUCAAUUUUGACCGUUGGAUAAAGGCUGAGGGAAUGUGGCUUCUUCGGGAGUGUUAUAGCCCUUGGUCGCAUACAACGGUUGGGAUUGAGGAACUC